rnacentral:lncRNA from 1 species
UGCUAUAUGUAAUCUUUGAUAAUCUGUCCUCAAAUUUAACCACAAUGAGGUGUUUGGAGUAAUUCAAUAUAUAGGGAAAGAAUAUAUAAGCAAAUAAAACCAAAAAAAAUAAUACUGAUAAGAGAAUUUACCGAAAGCAGAAUCGCACUCUCUGCUCCCUGUGGUUCCUUGAAGGUAACAAAUGCUAUCUGGGAAUGCUCAUAAUCACUGCAUAGAUAUGUCAUAAGACUGUUGUAAUCACUAUAAUUAAGAUAAAAAGGACUAAGUGGAAGGAAAAAAGUUUUUCAUAUACUAACCUAUGCAUCUCAACAUAAUCAAUAUCACUGGUACAGGAAAAAAAUUCUUUGAUGUUUCGCACUGAGGCCCCUAAUGAAAGAUUACUGAUUUUGACAGUUUUGAUCUGCAGCCCAAAAAAAAUGAAAUUUUUUACAUACAGUGUAUGGACUGUUUGAUUACCCCAUCACAAAGCAUGAAGCAACAAUACACACACCUUCUGUCCCAAAUUAAGAAUAACUAACAUAUAACAUACUUUACAUUUUUUUUGCAUGAUGUUUUUUUAAACUCUCCGUUCAAAAAUAUAAGAUUGUUAUCGACUUUUUGAAGUCCAGCUCAAACUGACAUUUAAUUUUAGUUAAUACAGGAUGAAUAUGGUAAACUAUCUAUACACAUUAAUGUUUAAUGAAUAAUCUCAAAUUUUGAGUGUGAAAAUGUCAAGAGUCAGAUCUUAUAGUAAUUUCAAACGGAGGGAGUAAUAAAUUUUCUGAAUAAAAUGGGUAAUUUAAUUAUAAAUUGAAUAUACCCAACUCAAGACUCAUAUACAAACCAGUGAUGCCCCUACAUGUAUAAGAAAAACUGAAAAACAAAAACAAACCCAACAGAGAAUCUGUACCUGUUUCUGUUGAUUUUCUGUAUUUACUGAUAAUGGAGAGAUGGAGUGUUUGGGAUGCAUGAAUUGGGUACCCAGAAUAAUCUUCCAUAAUUUAGUUAUUGGGUCUUUGCUAGCAGAAAUUGCAAGCGAGAAACUACAUAGGAAGAAUAGGGAAAUGCGGAGAGAGAAUCUCAGAACCAUGCCAAUUGCCAAAUUAGUCGGAGAUGGGGAAGAUCGUUGACAUAGUUAGGAGAGAGAGGUACUCAGCAAAGAAAAGGUGUG